AGAAGUGUGCUCUUCCGAUUUGGACAGUCCAGUAUCUGGACAAUAGAAUACACCCUGUGUGAAGACAACGGAGAUGUACUUCAGGUCAAGAAACAGGACAAAAG